AACGAACGCUGGCGGCAGGCUUAACACAUGCAAGUCGAACGCCCCGCAAGGGGAGUGGCAGACGGGUGAGUAACGCGUGGGAACGUGCCCUUCGCUUCGGAAUAUUCCCGGGAAACUGGGAGCAAUGCCGGAUACGCCGAAUUGGGAAAGAUUUAUCGGCGAAGGAUCGGCCCGCGUUAGAUUAGGUAGUUGGUGGGGUAAUGGCCUACCAAGCCUACGAUCUAUAGCUGGUCUGAGAGGAUGAUCAGCCACACUGGGACUGAGACACGGCCCAGACUCCUACGGGAGGCAGCAGUGGGGAAUCUUGGACAAUGGGCGCAAGCCUGAUCCAGCCAUGCCGCGUGAGUGAAGAAGGCCUUAGGGUUGUAAAACUCUUUCGCCGGUGAAGAUAAUGACGGUAGCCGGAGAAGAAGCCCCGGCUAACUUCGUGCCAGCAGCCGCCGCAGUAA
rnacentral:rRNA from 1 species